UUGUGAAGCUGACGCCAGUCUCGAGCAGUCUGAAGAACCUUCUGUGGAGAGGAGUGCCAAAGAACCACGGUGCGGUGAAGAAGGAAGCCAGACACAGAAAACUGUUUCCAGAGAGAUCUCGGAGAACAGCUUCUGGUCAUUGAAGGUGAAUGAGAAAAGUUUCCAGCGCUUACGUGACAGAGAAGUACUAACGAAGUGUUUACAAGCAUG